rnacentral:rRNA from 1 species
CCUACGGGGUGCAGCAGUGAGGAAUAUUGGUCAAUGGACGAGAGUCUGAACCAGCCAAGUAGCGUGAAGGAUGACUGCCCUAUGGGUUGUAAACUUCUUUUAUAUGGGAAUAAAAUGUUCCACGUGUGGGAUUUUGUAUGUACUAUAUGAAUAAGGAUCGGCUAACUCCGUGCCAGCAGCCGCGGUAAUACGGAGGAUCCGAGCGUUAUCCGGAUUUAUUGGGUUUAAAGGGAGCGUAGGUGGAUUGUUAAGUCAGUUGUGAAAGUUUGCGGCUCAACCGUAAAAUUGCAGUUGAAACUGGCAGUCUUGAGUACAGUAGAGGUGGGCGGAAUUCGUGGUGUAGCGGUGAAAUGCUUAGAUAUCACGAAGAACUCCGAUUGCGAAGGCAGUUCACUGGACUGCAACUGACACUGAGGCUCGAAAGUGUGGGUAUCAAACAGGAUUAGAUACCCUAGUAGUC